CAGGCUUAACACAUGCAAGUCGAGGGGCAGCAUGGUCUUAGCUUGCUAAGGCCGAUGGCGACCGGCGCACGGGUGAGUAACACGUAUCCAACCUGCCGUCUACUCUUGGACAGCCUUCUGAAAGGAAGAUUAAUACAAGAUGGCAUCAUGAGUCCGCAUGUUCACAUGAUUAAAGGUAUUCCGGUAGACGAUGGGGAUGCGUUCCAUUAGAUAGUAGGCGGGGUAACGGCCCACCUAGUCUUCGAUGGAUAGGGGUUCUGAGAGGAAGGUCCCCCACAUUGGAACUGAGACACGGUCCAAACUCCUACGGGAGGCAGCAGUGAGGAAUAUUGGUCAAUGGGCGAGAGCCUGAACCAGCCAAGUAGCGUGAAGGAUGACUGCCCUAUGGGUUGUAAACUUCUUUUAUAAAGGAAUAAAGUCGGGUAUGGAUACCCGUUUGCAUGUACUUUAUGAAUAAGGAUCGGCUAACUCCGUGCCAGCAGCCGCGGUAAUACGGAGGAUCCGAGCGUUAUCCGGAUUUAUUGGGUUUAAAGGGAGCGUAGAUGGAUGUUUAAGUCAGUUGUGAAAGUUUGCGGCUCAACCGUAAAAUUGCAGUUGAUACUGGAUAUCUUGAGUGCAGUUGAGGCAGGCGGAAUUCGUGGUGUAGCGGUGAAAUGCUUAGAUAUCACGAAGAACUCCGAUUGCGAAGGCAGCCUGCUAAGCUGCAACUGACAUUGAGGCUCGAAAGUGUGGGUAUCAAACAGGAUUAGAUACCCUGGUAGUCCACACGGUAAACGAUGAAUACUCGCUGUUUGCGAUAUACUGCAAGCGGCCAAGCGAAAGCGUUAAGUAUUCCACCUGGGGAGUACGCCGGCAACGGUGAAACUCAAAGGAAUUGACGGGGGCCCGCACAAGCGGAGGAACAUGUGGUUUAAUUCGAUGAUACGCGAGGAACCUUACCCGGGCUUAAAUUGCAGAUGAAUUACGGUGAAAGCCGUAAGCCGCAAGGCAUCUGUGAAGGUGCUGCAUGGUUGUCGUCAGCUCGUGCCGUGAGGUGUCGGCUUAAGUGCCAUAACGAGCGCAACCCUUGUUGUCAGUUACUAACAGGUUCCGCUGAGGACUCUGACAAGACUGCCAUCGUAAGAUGUGAGGAAGGUGGGGAUGACGUCAAAUCAGCACGGCCCUUACGUCCGGGGCUACACACGUGUUACAAUGGGGGGUACAGAGGGCCGCUACCACGCGAGUGGAUGCCAAUCCCCAAAACCUCUCUCAGUUCGGACUGGAGUCUGCAACCCGACUCCACGAAGCUGGAUUCGCUAGUAAUCGCGCAUCGGCCACGGCGCGGUGAAUACGUUCCCGGGCCUUGUACACACCGUCCGUCAAGCCAUGGGAGCCGGGGGUACCUGAAGUGCGUAACCGCGAGGAGCGCCCUAGGGUAAAACUGGUGACUGGG
rnacentral:rRNA from 1 species